rnacentral:rRNA from 1 species
UGGGGAAUAUUGCACAAUGGGGGAAACCCUGAUGCAGCCAUGCCGCGUGUGUGAAGAAGGCCUUCGGGUUGUAAAGCACUUUCAGCGAGGAGGAAAGGUCAGUAGCUAAUAUCUGCUGGCUGUGACGUUACUCGCAGAAGAAGCACCGGCUAACUCCGUGCCAGCAGCCGCGGUAAUACGGAGGGUGCAAGCGUUAAUCGGAAUUACUGGGCGUAAAGCGCACGCAGGCGGUUGGAUAAGUUAGAUGUGAAAGCCCCGGGCUCAACCUGGGAAUUGCAUUUAAAACUGUCCGGCUAGAGUCUUGUAGAGGGGGGUAGAAUUCCAGGUGUAGCGGUGAAAUGCGUAGAGAUCUGGAGGAAUACCGGUGGCGAAGGCGGCCCCCUGGACAAAGACUGACGCUCAGGUGCGAAAGCGUGGGGAGCAAACAGG